UUAAAUGUGGUUAUAAGAAUUGUGAUUCUUUGGCAUAUUUCCAUCAAAUUUAAAAACUUCAAAUAGUGCAUAUGUACUUGAAAAUUACACUUUCUCUUUUCUAAAAAGCUGUAUUUUUAAUACAACCCUAAUGUAUUUCAGAAUGCAAUGAGAGCCACUAUGGAACACCAUGCCAACAGAGGUGUUUACCCCCCUAUUCAAGUUCAUGUUACGCUGGGUAAUGAGGAUUUGACUGUGAAGAUGAGUGACCGAGGAGGUGGCGUUCCUUUGAGGAAAAUUGACAGACUUUUCAACUACAUGUAUUCAACUGCACCAAGACCUCGUGUUGAGACCUCCCGCGCGGUGCCUCUGGCUGGUUUUGGUUAUGGAUUGCCCAUAUCACGUCUUUACGCACAAUACUUCCAAGGAGACCUGAAGCUGUAUUCCCUAGAGGGUUACGGGACAGAUGCAGUUAUCUACAUUAAGGCUCUGUCAACAGACUCAAUAGAAAGACUCCCAGUGUAUAACAAAGCUGCCUGGAAGCAUUACAACACCAACCACGAGGCUGAUGACUGGUGCGUCCCCAGCAGAGAACCCAAAGACAUGACGACGUUCCGCAG
rnacentral:sRNA from 1 species